GUUGUACUCCUCAAGCCAGCACUCCUCCUCACAUGCAGUCAACCAUUUCUCAACCUUUUCAAGGAUUUCCUUCCUGCUAAAAGCUUCUUCCUUAACGUUUCCUAUUUGAAAUUCAAUCUGCUCAAGGACACUAGCAGGGUCCACAUUUCCUGCAAUAGCAUGGAGCUAUGCGCAAUAAAUGCUAAAAUGCUACUAGCAUUAAAAGUUAAAAUGAUGUAAUAUCAUAAAGACAAGUACCAGAUUCUAUGACUUCUAUAGCAUAUUCUGUUGCAGUAUCUGCUUCUGGAAUAAUAUGUGUCUUUCUACAGAUCUCUUCCAGCUCUGAUCUCUUCUUCAGAACAAGAUCUUUCAUCUUGCUUGAUUUCAACUCUUC
rnacentral:misc_RNA from 1 species